CCUACGGGGGGCAGCAGUGGGGGAUAUUGCACAAUGGGGGGAACCCUGAUGCAGCGACGCCGCGUGGGUGAAGGAGCGUUUCGGCGCGUAAAGCCCUAUCGGCAGGGAAGAAGAUGACGGUACCUGACCAAGAAGCCCCGGCUAACUACGUGCCAGCAGCCGCGGUAAUACGUAGGGAGCAAGCGUUGUCCGGAAUUACUGGGUGUAAAGGGAGCGUAGGCGGGGUAGUAAGUUGAUUGUUAAAACUAUCG
rnacentral:rRNA from 1 species